ensembl:lncRNA
UGGAAUUUUAGGAAAGUUAAACAAAUAGUGAUGUAGUUGUCUGAUAGCUCAGUCACAUAAUUUCCUGUUUCCACUUUGAUGUGACACUCCUAACCAUAACAACCACUGCUUGAUUAGCAACAUCCCCCUUGAUGGUUAAAUUUAAGCUUUUCGCAGUUGGAAUCUAGAUGUUUUUUAAUUGCUGUUUCAUCAGACAUUAGGGACACAUUUUUUCUGUUCUCAUAUUUUGGACCAGGAGUUCCUGUAGUUUGAAGAAGUCCUUUAGAUGUGGAGGUAGUGACUCCACGGCCUCCAACACUGUAGUUUGAAGAAGUCCUUUAGAUGUGGAGGUAGUGACUCCACGGCCUACAACACUGUAGUUUGAAGAAGUCCUUUAGAUGUGGAGGUAGUGACUUCACGCCCUCCAACACUGUAGUUUGAAGAAGUCCUUUCGAUGUGGAGGUAGUGACUCCACGCCCUCCAACACGGGUAGUUUGAAGAAGUCCUUUAGAUGUGGAGCUAGUCACUCCACGGCCUCCAACACUGUAGUUUGAAGAAGUCCUUUAGAUGUGGAGGUAGUCACUCCACGGCCUCCAACACUGUAGUUUGAAGAAGUCCUUUAGAUGUGGAGGUAGUCACUCCACGACCUCCAUCACUGUAGUUUGAACACGGCCUCCAACAUUGGAUCUUGUUUUGUUCUACAAAUGAUAAAAGAGUAUAGAUACG